AACGAACGCUGGCGGCAUGCCUAACACAUGCAAGUCGAACGAGAUCUUCGGGUCUAGUGGCGCACGGGUGCGUAACGCGUGGGAAUCUGCCCUUUGGUUCGGAAUAACAGUUGGAAACGACUGCUAAUAUCGGAUGAUGACGAAAGUCCAAAGAUUUAUCGCCAGAGGAUGAGCCCGCGUAGGAUUAGCUAGUUGGUGUGGUAAGGGCGCACCAAGGCGACGAUCCUUAGCUGGUCUGAGAGGAUGAUCAGCCACACUGGGACUGAGACACGGCCCAGACUCCUACGGGAGGCAGCAGUGGGGAGUAUUGGACAAUGGGCGAAAGCCUGAUCCAGCAAUGCCGCGUGAGUGAUGAAGGCCUUAGGGUUGUAAAGCUCUUUUACCCGGGAUGAUAAUGACAGUACCGGGAGAAUAAGCUCCGGCUAACUCCGUGCCAGCAGCCGCCGUAA
rnacentral:rRNA from 1 species